GAUUCUGACAUAGCAUAAUUCUCUCUUGUUUUUUUUGCUUGUUAUUUUUGCAUUGUAAUAUGUUAUUAUUUUGUUCAUUUGAAGAUUCUCCACAAAAAAAGCUGCCUUUAUGCAUUAUAUAGGGGGGUUAUCUUCACCAGAAUUAUCGUCAUUAAUAUUAUUAUUAGUGGUAUGAAUUGUAGUGGUAGUUCUAAUAGUAGUAGUAGCAGUAGUUGUAAUAGUAGUAGUAAUAGCAGCAGCAGUAGUAGUAGCAAUAGUAGCAGUAGCAGUAGCAGUAGUAGUAGUAGUAGUAGCAGUAGUUGUAGUAGCAGUAGUAGUAGUAGUAGUAGUAGUAGCAGUAGUAAUAGCAGUAGUAGUAGUAGUAGAAGUAGCAGCAGUAGUAGUAGUAGCAGUAGCAUCAGUAGUAGUAGCAGCAGUAAUAGUAGCAGCAGUAGUAGUAGCAGCAGUAGCAUCAGUAGUAGUAGCAGCAGUAAUAGUAGCAGCAGUAGUAGUAGCAGCAGUAAUAGUAGCAGCAGUAGUAGUAGUAGUAGUAGUAGUAGUAGCAGUAGUUGUAGUAGCAGUAGUAGUAGUAGUAGUAGUAGCAGUAGUAAUAGCAGUAGUAGUAGUAGUAGUAGAAGUAGCAGCAGUAGUAGUAGUAGCAGUAGCAUCAGUAGUAGUAGCAGCAGUAAUAGUAGCAGCAGUAGUAGUAGCAGCAGUAGCAUCAGUAGUAGUAGCAGCAGUAAUAGUAGCAGCAGUAGUAGUAGCAGCAGUAAUAGUAGCAGCAGUAGUAGUAGUAGUAGUAGUAGUAGUAGUAGUAGUAGUAGCAGCAGUAGUAGUAGUAGUAGUAGUAGUAGUAGCAGUAGUAGCAGUACUGUAUUUUUAAGAGGAAAAGACAGGAGAUGUGCAGUAGCCCCCCAAGCUAGCUACACAUUAGCAUGACUCAACACCCAUCACAACACAGUCAUUGAUCACACACUCAUUAUCAUGGGGACCAUUUGUGACUAGGGGGUCAGAUAUCACGUCAGAGAUCAUUUCCAUCAUUCUACGCCUGCGGGCCCCCUGUUACACAUUUAACACUUUUCGCUUACACACUCUCCUCACACACUCCAGGAAGGCAGAGGGGAGAGGGGAGCCUCUUUAAAGGAUCUGGUCGUUUAGCUGGGACACACUCCCCUUACACACACUCUCCUCACACACACUCCCCUUACACACACUCGGAGAGGCAGAAGUGAGUUAGCGGGGCAGCUCUUGAGAGGAUUCAGGAAGUGAAUUGUUCUCUGAAAUUGAAAUGUUCUCUCUUUCUCUCACCAUUCAUCACAGUGUUUUUAUAAUAGCAGCGGUAGAAGUAACCACACACACACACACACACACACACACACACACAGUGUUUUUCUCUCCUCAUAACUUAACA
ensembl:lncRNA